CUCUGAGAUAGGUUCUUGGUCCACAGAGGUCAAAAGUACAAGUCUCCUGGGAAUGCUUUUGUUGAAGGCGAUGCUUCUAGUGCCAGCUACUUCCUCGCAGGUGCAGCUGUUACCGGUGGGACUAUCACAGUUGUAGGCUGCGGCACAAGUAGUUUACAGAAUCAUCCUGUUGUUGUUGUGCCUAGGCUUCCUGCUGGUUUGAAUUUGCUUAGCCCA